UGCAAAAUUGGGGGAUUUUCCACACUUGCUUCCCCGGUUCUCUUUCGGCCGGCUGCCCAUUGUUGUUUCCGAAGGGGUGGAGGAGGGCAACCGCGUCUGUCCUCAGAGCCUCCCGCGGCGAGGCGGAGAGAGGAAUUUUGUUUGGGGACAAACUUUUAAAAGGGCCUCGCGAUCUCAGUGGAUUCGGAGUCCCCUGUAAUUAGACCAGCCCUGGCUCAGGGUCCAGUGCUGACUCCAGAGGUGGGACAGUGGGGUUUCAAGCGAGGACCUAUUGUGCCUCUUACCGUUGUCCCCUCCACCCCUCCAAGUACCCGCUGCUGUCCGGCCUCCGGCGGGGGAGCGGUCCUUCCCUGGUGUCCCCAGCCUCCUCUUCCAGGGAGGCUUCCCUUGCGCAGCACCCCUGGCCAGGUGUUCCCUCCCCCCGUUACCCGAAGUACACGGUGCCUUUCUCCCCAGCGGGCGCAGAAGCCCUGCCCAGUGUCUUUUUAGGGCCCCCAAGGGACACGUUCUAGUCGGACCCUUAGGGAAACGCUGGGUUGUCCUGUGGGUUAAAGGACACGGACUGGAAGAAACCACCAGAGGCACUGGGACGCCUGCUGUCCCCGCCUCCUCCUGAGCUUUUGAAGGGCCUGCUGUGUGCCAGGCACAGGAGUAUCCCCUGGAAAUGACCCCAGAGAGAGCCAAAGGAGGGUGCUGACCAGUGGAAGAGGAAGGGCAACAGCGAUGUGAGUGGCAAGAGACCUGCUAGGAGAAGCCGUGGGACAAAUACCUAAGGAAAGGUUUCUUGUGGCUCAGCGGUUCCAGCUCAUGGUUGGUGGACUCCGAGGCAGACGAUCACGGUGGAAGGUGUGGUGGGGGCAAGCCACUCAUUUCACGGCAGCCACCAAGGAGGGAGAGGAGAAGAAGGAGAAGGAAGGGAGGGGAAAAGAAGGGGAGAGAAGAGAGAAAGGAAGGAGCCCCUCCAGGACACAGCCCGAGUGACCUCCUUUCUUUAACGAGGUCCCACUGUCUACAGUUCCCAGGGAUGACAACCAAGUAUUAAUCCCCCAGUGGACGAAUCCACUGGGGAGCUCAGAGUCUUCAGAAUCCAGUUAAUAGCCCCAGUCUGAACACCGCUGCCUUGGGGACCGAGCUUUCAACCCACGAGCCUUUCGAGGACAUUCCAGAGUCAAAUCAUAAUACCACUCUCUACCUUGAGUGGCAAAAUGUUGAAAUCAGUAGAUCGUGACAAAUCGUAAUUUUUUGACAAAUCAUAUUUGUAUAUCGUGCAAACAGAACAACUACUACAUGUACCUAGGGUAAUGGUGUCCAUCUCAUUCCACCAUCAAAAACUAUACAGACAUAUACAAAAAAUACUACAAAGAGGUCAAGUAAGAAUCCUAAAAAUGUUCAAUUAACUCACAGGAAGGUAAGAAAGGAAAAUGAGAACAAGAAAAGGAAACAAACAACAGCAACAACAACAACAACA